rnacentral:rRNA from 1 species
UACGUAGGGUGCAAGCGUUGUCCGGAAUUAUUGGGCGUAAAGAGCUCGUAGGCGGUUUGUCGCGUCGAAUGUGAAAACCCGGGGCUCAACCCCGGGCCUGCAUUCGAUACGGGCAGACUAGAGUUCGGUAGGGGAGUCUGGAAUUCCUGGUGUAGCGGUGAAAUGCGCAGAUAUCAGGAGGAACACCGGUGGCGAAGGCGGGACUCUGGGCCGAUACUGACACUGAGGAGCGAAAGCGUGGGGAGCGAACAGG